GAUGAACGCUGGCGGCGUGCCUAAUACAUGCAAGUCGAGCGAACGGACGAGAAGCUUGCUUCUCUGAUGUUAGCGGCGGACGGGUGAGUAACACGUGGAUAACCUACCUAUAAGACUGGGAUAACUUCGGGAAACCGGAGCUAAUACCGGAUGAUAUUUUGAACCGCAUGGUUCAAAAGUGAAAGACGGUCUUGCUGUCACUUAUAGCUGGAUCCGCGCUGCAUUAGCUAGUUGGUAAGGUAACGGCUUACCAAGGCAACGAUGCAUAGCCGACCUGAGAGGGUGAUCGGCCACACUGGAACUGAGACACGGUCCAGACUCCUACGGUAGGCAGCAGUAGGGAAUCUUCCGCAAUGGGCGAAAGCCUGACGGAGCAACGCCGCGUGAGUGAUGAAGGUCUUCGGAUCGUAAAACUCUGUUAUUAGGGAAGAACAUAUGUGUAAGUAACUGUGCACAUCUUGACGGUACCUAAUCAGAAAGCCACGGCUAACUACGUG
rnacentral:rRNA from 1 species